rnacentral:rRNA from 1 species
UAGGAACUCAGCAAAUUAACGCCGUAACUUCGGGAGAAGGUGUGCCCCGGUAGCGUGUAGAGACUUGCUCUCGAAGCGCGAUGGGGUUGCAGUGAAAUGGUGGCUGCGACUGUUUAAUAAAAACACAACACUCUGCAAACACGAAAGUGGACGUAUAGGGUGUGACGCCUGCCCGGUGCCGGAAGGUUAAGUGAUGGGGUGCAAGCUCUUGAUCGAAGCCCCGGUAAACGGCGGCCGUAACAAUAACGGUCCUAAGGUAGCGAAAUUCCUUGUCGGGUAAGUUCCGACCUGCACGAAUGGCGUAACGAUGGCCACACUGUCUCCUCCUGGGACUCAGCGAAGUUGAAAUGUUUGUGAAGAUGCAAUCUACCCGCGGCUAGACGGAAAGACCCCAUGAACCUUUACUGUAGCUUUGCAUUGGACUUUGAACCGGUUUGUGUAGGAUAGGUGGGAGACUGUGAAGCCGGGACGCUAGUUUCGGUGGAGUCAACCUUGAAAUACCACCCUGAUUUGUUUGAGGUUCUAACCUUGGUCCGUGAAUCCGGAUCGGGGACCGUGCAUGGUAGGCAGUUUGACUGGGGCGGUCUCCUCCCAAAAGGUAACGGAGGAGUACGAAGGUACGCUUAGGGCGGUCGGACAUCGCCCACAAAGUGCAAUGGCAAAAGCGUGCUUGACUGCGAGACCCACAAGUCGAGCAGGUACGAAAGUAGGUCAUAGUGAUCCGGUGGUUCUGUAUGGAAGGGCCAUCGCUCAACGGAUAAAAGGUACUCUGGGGAUAACAGGCUAAUUCCUCCCAAGAGUUCAUAUCGACGGGGGAGUUUGGCACCUCGAUGUCGGCUCAUCACAUCCUGGGGCUGUAGUCGGUCCCAAGGGUAUGGCUGUUCGCCAUUUAAAGUGGUACGCGAGCUGGGUUUAAAACGUCGUGAGACAGUUUGGUCCCUAUCUGCCGUGGGCGCUGGAAAUUUGAAGGGGGCUGCUCCUAGUACGAGAGGACCGGAGUGGACGAACCUCUGGUUUACCGGUUAUGACGCCAGUCGUAUCGCCGGGUAGCUAAGUUCGGAAGAGAUAAACGCUGAAAGCAUCUAAGCGUGAAACUCGCCUUAAGAUAAGAUUUCCCGGAGUCUUGAACUCCCUGAAGGGUCGUCGAAGACCACGACGUUGAUAGGUCAGGUGUGGAAGCGCAGCAAUGCGUUAAGCUAACUGAUACUAAUUGCCCGUGCGGCUUGAUC